AUCCACCCCCCGCCUCCUUUCUUUCCCACUUCCAUCUCCUCGCUGUCUCGCCCGAUGGAGAGAGAGAGAGCGAGAGCUCGCCUCCUCCCUUCCAGAUCGCCGCCGCCACCUCCCUCUGGCGGAGCUCGCCGCCGUCCCCCACGCAUACUUCCCCCUCCAAGACAGCAAAGCCGCGCCCUCUCCCCUCGGAUCCAUGGCGCUGCUCAGCGCCGGCGCGGCCACGGUGGUGUGGGCAUGCCUCGCCAUGCCGCUGCCCCCUACAGUCGCCGCCCCCUCCACCCCAGCUUCACCGGCGACCUCCCUCCCUUCAUUCCUCGAGGGCGCCCGAAACCAUAGCCCCUCGCGGACGGGGCGACAAAGAUGGCCAAGGAUCCCUCCUCCGCCCGUGUUCCGGCAAAGACGGCGCCGGAUCCGCAGCCAACUGCGGCGGCUGCUGCACUAGCAACAGGAGACGGCUCAUGGAGGGUCCUAGCCGGCCGCAUUCUCCACCCCUUCUCUUGUACAUGCGGGAUCUCGCUGCUGCUGCCACCGCCGCCGCGGUGGCCCUUGACGACGGCGAGGUAGGAGGCGUGCUGGAUGCCCAAAUGCAGAUCCCAUCUCUUCUUGUUCUAUGCCGGGCAGACCGCGACCACGGCAAGAGGAAGGAGGCACGACGGGCUGGACGACAAGGUGGAGAACCCGGACACGGAGGGGCGCCAGAUCUUGCCUCGGGGUCUCCUGAUCUAGCCAUACUGUCGCCGGAUCUCCCCCCUCUCCCUCUCUCUGUGUUUUUCUGUCAGUAGCUAGUAGCAUAAGUUGGAGCUGGCUGAACCAGGAACUAUCUGCAUUUAUUCAACUAGAUCAAGUACAAGUACAUUAGUCCGUAAUCUGCUAUUAAUACAAUGUCCAAGUCAUAAAUUUCCUGAAGUAGUGCAUGUAUAUAUUUAUGUGCUAGUUAAUUAGAAAAUGGAUGUGAUUAGAAAAUGUGUUCAUCAGGUCUUGUGUAAUCAUAAAAUUUGUGAUUCAUAUUCUCCAGCUAAAUGCCUUACCUGUGUAUUAUACACUUUAUUCUUCUUGCUGGAGUACUAGAAGAGUAGUGCUAUCUUGCUGCUGGUGACACUCCAUCGACUACUCACUGUUAAUUUAUUCCGAGUGGCCAUAAUUCCCUUCCUAGCAGCACCACAGAGUACCACCUGCUCUCUUGUCUCACCCAUAACAAGAAUUUACUAGAAGUAUGUGUCUUGGGUACUAUCUAGGUCCCUUCUACUACUACACCUAGUUACUUGUGUGUAUCCUAUUACUUACUAGUUAGUACACAUGUGUAGUAGUACUGUACUAUAAUCUUCUUCCUCAACUACUACAAUAGUACUUGUAGUAGUGGUGUGUUACUGCCAGUGACAGUUUAUCGAGUUUAUUAACUCCAAAUGAAGUGAACUGGGCAUAAUUCUCUAGAUGCAGUACAUAGUGCUAUACGUUUCCUUGCCUCACCAACAAAAUGUACUAAUAUGUCUCUUGUGACACGCUAGGUCGAUUCUACGCCUUCGAGAAACCUGUAGUACUUGUAUCUCUGCAUGUUUGAGCACCCGAGCAGUACUUCAAAAUGGAGUAGCUUAAUUCACUGAAUUUGGUUGUAGUACUAGUUGAUUCACUGAGAAGAUUCAGUAAUGAGUUGAUUCACUGAGAAGACUCAGUUUUUUGUGUUGGCUUCUUUCCAUUGUGUAGCUCGCUGUGUGACAAGUCUGUUCAUUCCUCUAGAUGUCGUGUCACUUGGCAUAAGUAAUUAAGUAGGAAUAGUUUCAGGUGAAUCGUAGCUUUGCUAUGGCUUCAUUUCAUCUGAUACAGGCAUGAAAUUGAACUGCACUUGAUGUAGCGCCAUUAUGGUCCCUGAAAUUAGCUUCUGUUAUUGAAUUUUUUAUUUCCUCGCCUGAGAACAACGGUAUCAUCAUAUUCUACCAGGCCCUUUGUUUGUUUCUGUGAGCUUGCCUCUGUGGCUAGCACAUAUCAUAUGUGAUCCAUGCUGUCUCUUUUCCGCCCACUGAAGCUUGGAGCAAAGUGGCAUAUUACUUUUGUGAUAACUGAGAGAACCGCGAGGCUUUCUUUUCUACUUUGGCAUAUAAUAUUAGAAUUAAUACUAUUUUUUAAUUUGUUAUUAGGCUAUUAGUGCGAAACUUCCAAGUUAUAACUAUCCUUGCAUUUCUUACUCCAAUUGUGAAAGGACUAUAUAUAGUCUGUGUGCUUCUGUGAAUAUAUUUGAGUACAUUUUUAUCAUGCUGCUGUAAUAUGUAAUGUAGUGUAGUUUUCAAAGCAUGUCUGCUAUUGUAAUUCAGUAUUUAUAUGCAGCAACAGAUUAUCCAGUACUGUUGCCUACAUGCUUCUGGCCGCUGAUACUUUUCAUUUUGCUCAGUUCUUCUUGCUUCGGAUUGCUUCCUCCCUGACACCCCGAUCCAGAUGACGGCAGCAGCGAUGGCAUCCACACUCAAGCGUGCCUACCUCUCCAUCUAUAACUGGUGCUCUACUACGUGCUGCUGGAUAGUUUACCUGGACGUGCGCGUCGCCAGUUGAGAGGCGUCUCCAUCUUGCGCAGACCGCCGUCUGUGUCUAUCAUUGAUCAGUUAUCUGUAACUUGCCGACGUGUUUUCUAGGUCGCUAGUUUUGUACUUUGCCUAUAACUGCAUGAGCCAUUCUCGCUGAAAUGACAUGAUUUAGCUUUUAGUUCUUCUGGCCAAACAUGUGUUUUAGCCUUUUGCCUUUGCUUAUCAACAGUUGUUUUGCUUGUUUUUGAGCUACUGCCACUUUGAGCUGAUGUAGGCCUGUAGUUAUUUAUUGCAACUGAGCUUCUAUAUUGCAUUGUUGGACCAAUUGAUUGCCACCUCUUAGAUGUGCAUUGCUGUUCUUAUCUCUGUACUUUCUAGUUGUGCUAAUUUUAGGACAUGUUCGGUGAAUUUAGAUGUUGGGAAGUGGAUCCUGAAUGCACUUUGUGUUUGCUAUAUUCAGAUUUGUACACACAGUUUUUACUGUAAAAAAAAUCUGUAGUUACGUACGAUUUGAAUCACUACACCUGAAUCUGUAGAUUUGCACAUACAAAUCUUCAGAGAUUGGGGCAUAUCAAAUCUUGAUAUAUCCACUACAUCUUCUUGCUGAAUCGAGUGCUCUCUUUUAUAGGUCUAUUCUUUUAUAGGUCUAUGAAUUUCCUGAACUGGUGCAUGUAUAUAUUUGGGUGCUAGUCAAUUAGAGAAUGUCUGUGAUACCAUGUUUGUACUACGUGCUAGUGUUGCUGUACUGAUGCAAAUACUACUUCUGUACUUAUGGAGAAAUCUGUGAUCUGCCAGUUCGCGGCGUCCAUCGCUUCUGUCCAAGCGCUCUUCAUCUUGUGUGUCAUCUGCAAGGCAAUCAAGUUAAUUAGAUGUUGCUCUUUUCAUGAUCUGCUUCAUACAUACAUGCAUAUGUAUUGCUUCCUACCUUCCUGCCUGCUACAUCUCUGCUAGCAUAAAUCAAAGAGAAGAAAGAAAUCUACCUAUUUUUAUCUGUAGCCUUUAAUGAAUUCUAUGAAUCUGUAGCCUUUAAUGAAUUCAAUGUAUGACUGUGAUGAGAAUUAUGGUACUACUUGCUGUUUGCAUCCUAUACUUUGCUUGUGAAUGAUGCUAUGUUGUUCUGCAGACUAUCAUAUAUUUUUGUGUUGUUUUUGCUGAAUAGAUUGAAUAUCUUUGUUACACACUGUAGCUUGUAGCUUUGCAAACUAACCUUCUCUAGUUCUCUUACUUUUCUGCAGAUCGCCCAUGGCGUGGACGGCGACGACGAUAGGAGGACGCCAGUUCUAGCCGAGAACAUGGCCUUGUCCUGCUCGAGGAAGAGGGACGCACCUAGGCACCGGCCCUGUCCCGCAACAAGGGGUCUGCUCCUCUGCUUCCAAGGCAAUCAAGCUGCCCUGCCUGAGCUCGACAAUUCAAGCCCGACCACGACCACGCACCGCUCCCAGCAGGGUGACAGGAAGCCAUGUUGCCAUUUUGUUUGUUCCCAGCCCCGACUGGUCGUCCGACGAGUCCGCCAUGUUGUCAUUUUCUUGUAAAGUAGUACUGUAUCACACUUGUAGAGCUCGUUACACUUGUAGAGCUUGUAAAGUACUGUAUUACACAUGGUCAUAUGUAUUGGCAUGGAUAGAGUACUGUUGUUGCCAAUGUAUUAUGUGAUCUGGUUGCUCUUAUUUGAAGUAUUAUGUGUGCUA